rnacentral:rRNA from 1 species
CCCUUAGAUGUUCUGGGCCGCACGCGCGCUACACUGACGAAUGCAACGAGCUUAUAACCUUGGCCGAAAGGUCUGGGUAAUCUCCAAAUUUCGUCGUGAUGGGGAUAGAUUAUUGCAAUUAUUAAUCUUCAACGAGGAAUGCCUAGUAAGCGCAAGUCAUCAGCUUGCGUUGAUUACGUCCCUGCCCUUUGUACACACCGCCCGUCGCUCCUACCGAUUGAAUGGUCCGGUGAAGCGCUCGGACCGCGGCCUCUUGACGGUUCGCUGUCGAUUGGCUGUGGGAAGUUCGUUAAACCUUAUCAUUUAGAGGAAGGAGAAGUCGUAGCA